rnacentral:rRNA from 1 species
UCGAGAAUUUUUCUCAAUGGGGGAAACCCUGAAGGAGCGACGCCGCGUGGAGGAUGAAGGUCUUCGGAUUGUAAACUCCUUUCAUUAGGGAACAAUGUGCGGUUAUUAACUGUAAUCGUAUUGAUAGUACCUGAAGAGGAAGAGACGGCUAACUCUGUGCCAGCAGCCGCGGUAAUACAGAGGUCUCAAGCGUUGUUCGGAUUCAUUGGGCGUAAAGGGUGCGUAGGUGGCGCCAUAAGUCAGGUGUGAAAUCUCGGGGCUCAACCCCGAAACUGCACUUGAUACUGUGGUGCUCGAGUACUGGAGAGGAGAUUGGAAUUUACGGUGUAGCAGUGAAAUGCGUAGAUAUCGUAAGGAAGACCAGUGGCGAAGGCGAAUCUCUGGACAGUUACUGACACUGAGGCACGAAGGCCAGGGGAGCAAACG